rnacentral:rRNA from 1 species
CUACGGAGGGUCCAAGCGUUAUCCGGAAUCAUUGGGUUUAAAGGGUCCGUAGGCGGGCAAUUAAGUCAGAGGUGAAAUCCCACAGCUCAACUGUGGAACUGCCUUUGAUACUGGUUGUCUUGAAUUAUAGUGAAGUAGAUAGAAUAUGUAGUGUAGCGGUGAAAUGCUUAGAUAUUACAUAGAAUACCGAUUGCGAAGGCAGUCUACUAACUGUAUAUUGACGCUGAUGGACGAAAGCGUGGGGAGCGAACAGGAGUAGAUACCCUAGUAGUCC